UACGUAGGGGGCUAGCGUUGUCCGGAUUUAUUGGGCGUAAAGAGCGUGUAGGCGGCCAGGUAGGUCUGGUGUGAAAACUCGAGGCUUAACCUCGAGAUGUCAUCGGAAACCAUCUGGCUAGAGUCCGGAAGAGGAGAGUGGAAUUCCUGGUGUAGCGGUGAAAUGCGCAGAUAUCAGGAAGAACACCCGUGGCGAAGGCGGCUCUCUGGGACGGUACUGACGCUGAGGAGCGAAAGCGUGGGGAGCGAACAGG
rnacentral:rRNA from 1 species